ACGAACCGUACGAACGUUAUUCGGAAUCACUGGGCUUAAAGGGUGCGUAGGCGGUCCGAUAAGUUGGGUGUGAAAUACCUCGGCUCAACCGAGGAAUUGCGCUCAAUACUGUCGGACUUGAGGGAGACAGAGGUGAGCGGAACUUAGGGUGGAGCGGUGAAAUGCGUUGAUAUCCUAAGGAACACCGGUAGCGAAAGCGGCUCACUGGGUCUUUUCUGACGCUGAUGCACGAAAGCUAGGGGAGCGAAGAG
rnacentral:rRNA from 1 species